rnacentral:rRNA from 1 species
AGCGAACGCUGGCGGCAGGCCUAACACAUGCAAGUCGAACGAACCUUUCGGGGUUAGUGGCGGACGGGUGAGUAACACGUGGGAACGUGCCUUUAGGUUCGGAAUAAUUCAGGGAAACUUGUGCUAAUACCGAAUGUGCUCUUCGGGGGAAAGAUUAAUCGCCUUUAGAGCGGCCGGGGUCUGUUUAGCUAGUUGGUUGAGGUAAUGGCUCACCAAGGCGACGAUCAGUAGCUGGUCUGAGAGGAUGAUCAGCCACAUUGGGACUGAGACACGGCCCAAACUCCUACGGGAGGCAGCAGUGGGGAAUCUUGCGCAAUGGGCGAAAGCCUGACGCAGCCAUGCCGCGUGAAUGAUGAAGGUCUUAGGAUUGUAAAAUUCUUUCACCGGGGACGAUAAUGACGGUACCCGGAGAAGAAGCCCCGGCUAACUUCGUG